GGCUCGGUGGCGGAUGGUCUGCGCCUGCAACCAUCAACUGGUGAAUCUCCUGCGAAGGUUGAGCAGUGAUCCCUCGUUCGAUUCGAGGCCGAGCCA